rnacentral:rRNA from 1 species
GAGUUUGAUCCUGGCUCAGGACGAACGCUGGCGGCGUGCUUAACACAUGCAAGUCGAGCGGUAAGGCCCCUUCGGGGGUACACGAGCGGCGAACGGGUGAGUAACACGUGAGUAACCUGCCCCUGACUCUGGGAUAAGCCUGGGAAACUGGGUCUAAUACCGGAUAUGACCUCGUGCCGCAUGGUGUGGGGUGGAAAGGUGUUUUUCCGGUCAGGGAUGGGCUCGCGGCCUAUCAGCUUGUUGGUGGGGUAACGGCCUACCAAGGCGAUGACGGGUAGCCGGCCUGAGAGGGCGGCCGGCCACACUGGGACUGAGACACGGCCCAGACUCCUGCGGGAGGCAGCAGUGGGGAAUAUUGCGCAAUGGGCGGAAGCCUGACGCAGCGACGCCGCGUGGGGGAUGAAGGCCUUCGGGUUGUAAACCUCUUUUACCACUCACGAAGGCCCCUGGUUUUCUGGGGGUUGACGGUAGGUGGUGAAUAAGGACCGGCUAACUACGUGCCAGCAGCCGCGGUAAUACGUAGGGUCCGAGCGUUGUCCGGAAUUAUUGGGCGUAAAGAGCUCGUAGGCGGCCUGUCGCGUCUGCUGUGAAAGUCCGGGGCUUAACUCCGGGUGUGCAGUGGAUACGGGCAGGCUUGAGGUAGGUAGGGGAGACUGGAAUUCCUGGUGUAGCGGUGAAAUGCGCAGAUAUCAGGAGGAACACCGGUGGCGAAGGCGGGUCUCUGGGCCUUACCUGACGCUGAGGAGCGAAAGCGUGGGGAGCGAACAGGAUUAGAUACCCUGGUAGUCCACGCCGUAAACGUUGGGCGCUAGGUGUGGGGACUUUCCACGGUUUCCGUGCCGUAGCUAACGCAUUAAGCGCCCCGCCUGGGGAGUACGGCCGCAAGGCUAAAACUCAAAGGAAUUGACGGGGGCCCGCACAAGCGGCGGAGCAUGUUGCUUAAUUCGACGCAACGCGAAGAACCUUACCAAGGCUUGACAUCACCGGUAAUCCUCCAGAAGAUGGGGGGUCCUUCCGGGGAUCG